ACAUGUGAUAAUCUCUAUGCACUUCCAACUCCUCUGCUACUGUGAACUGUCCCUAUUCAUAAACAAUUGACAGCUUCAAAUGUGUAUGGUAAUACCUUUGAAGAAAUUCAAGACCCAGAAGUGGGCCUAAAACAUGAGCUCAAGCAGUUAUUCUACAGAAGGCCCAAACCUACCAUCAAGAGUCAGGACAAACGCGCUCCCGGCUCCCUCGGUUUCCCUCCAACUGCCUUGGAUCAAAGUUCAAACACACAGGGACACACUUCCUUUCCCUCUGGCGGACCCUAGAUCGAUCAGAUCCUGAGAUCUCACUCUCGAUUCUCCGUGUGUUUUUUGGCCUCGCUAAUUCUCUUCCGCUUAAUUGUGAUAAUCCCAGUCUGAUGCGACAAGCAGAUUAAUCCCAGCUCCGAUCUCAAUUACAAAAGAUGUAGCCAGACGUGAGUAUCUAGACCUCCUCCAUGAUCCGCGUUGCGGUUAUUCCUAUCGGGACAGUUCCACCAUAGAUCUUGCGGGACUACAACUCUAUACGGAGCACCAGAAGUCUCCCUUUACGAACUAGCCGUGGGAGACAGGAUCGCUUCGGUUCAAGUUCUUGUUUGGCAGAGCUCCUAACUGUCCCUGGGAGGACUUUCAGUCCAACCGCAAGAUCCUUGCUGUGUUGCCUGAUCUGGAUUCGGUUGUCGAGCAAUUCAACUCUGCGUGUAAGGGAUACUUCUCGGCGCUGGUGGAGCGGUACUUCUGUUUCUUCCUGGUGACUCUCAGACACAGGAGUUUCACUUGCAAACCAUGAUGCAAGACAUUGCUGCCUCAUUGCUGAUGGAAAUCGAAAAGUGAGUUCUUAAGGCAGAAUCUGCUGGAACAAUUCUCAGGAGGCCUCUGGAUUGUCAAUCCAGUCUCAGUCAGAGGAGGUUUAUGUCUAGCUGAUUAAGGCUAAAAAAUAAAGACUUGCUUGUGCACAGGAGACAAUAGGAGAUUAUUUUUCAGGAUUGCAUGUUGAUGAGAAUGCCCAUUAUUCUACUGCUUUAGAACUUGCAAGAUUGAUGGGAGAUUGCUUCUGGUGUGCUAGGGCAUUGGAGGGCAGUGUUUGUGCCUUAUUGGUAACUGGAUUCAGUUUUGGGAGAAGAGGUCAGAUAUUGUUACAAAUGCUGCAUCACAGAAAGUCGUUUAUACAAGACACUGGUCAGAGACUUUGGAAGGGCUCAAACCGAAAAAUGUUUCCUGCUCUUCAUCUUAUCUGGCACCUGGCAGCAUGUCUAAAUGUUGCCAUUUCCUUAUCUGUUCCUUGCCAUCAACUCAUCAUUUUAUUCAACAUUUCCUUAUCUGGUCCUGGCCAUCAAUUCAUCAUUUUAUUCUUCUCAUUAUUUGUAUAUUGGCAAA